UCGGGAAUUUUGGGCAAUGGGCGCAAGCCUGAUCCAGCCAUGCCGCGUGAGUGACGAAGGUCUUCGGAUUGUAAAACUCUUUUGGCGGGGACGAUAAUGACGGUACCCGCAGAAUAAGCCCCGGCUAACUUCGUGCCAGCAGCCGCGGUAAUACGAAGGGGGCUAGCGUUGUUCGGAAUCACUGGGCGUAAAGCGCACGUAGGCGGAUGUGCCAGUCAGGGGUGAAAUCCCGGAGCUCAACUCCGGAACUGCCUCUGAUACUGCACGUCUUGAGUUCGAGAGAGGUGGGUGGAAUUCCUAGUGUAGAGGUGAAAUUCGUAGAUAUUAGGAAGAACACCGGUGGCGAAGGCGGCCCACUGGCUCGAUACUGACGCUGAGGUGCGAAAGCGUGGGGAGCGAAACAGGAUUAGAUACCCCAGUAGUCCCUGAGCGGGCUGGCAAGGCGCAU
rnacentral:rRNA from 1 species